rnacentral:rRNA from 1 species
CGGCGGACGGGUGAGUAACGCGUGGGUAACCUGCCUCAUACAGGGGGAUAACAGUUAGAAAUGACUGCUAAUACCGCAUAAGCGCACAGUACCACAUGGUACGGUGUGAAAAACUCCGGUGGUAUGAGAUGGACCCGCGUCUGAUUAGCUGGUUGGUGGGGUAACGGCCCACCAAGGCGACGAUCAGUAGCCGACCUGAGAGGGUGAUCGGCCACAUUGGGACUGAGACACGGCCCAA